rnacentral:rRNA from 1 species
GACGAACGCUGGCGGCGUGCUUAACACAUGCAAGUCGUACGGUAAGGCCCUUUCGGGGGUACACGAGUGGCGCACGGGUGAGUAACACGUGAGUAACCUGCCCACAACUUUGGGAUAACGCUAGGAAACUGGUGCUAAUACUGGAUAUGUGCUCCUGCUGCAUGGUGGGGGUUGGAAAGCUCCGGCGGUUGUGGAUGGACUCGCGGCCUAUCAGCUUGUUGGUGGGGUAGUGGCCUACCAAGGCGGCGACGGGUAGCCGGCCUGAGAGGGUGACCGGCCACAGUGGGACUGAGAUACGGCCCAGACUCCUACGGGAGGCAGCAGUGGGGAAUAUUGCACAAUGGGCGCAAGCCUGAUGCAGCAACGCCGCGGGCGGGAUGACGGCCUUCGGGUUGUAAACCGCUUUCAGCAGGGACGAAGCUUUUUGUGACGGUACCUGCAGAAGAAGCACCGGCUAACUACGUG